AAUUACUGAAAUUAAGGCUGAAUUUGUCAAAUUUCAAAGGAAGAUCUAACACACGACCCUAACCUUCCAGGUGACCAAUCUCUACCACUACUCUGGCAUCCUUCAAUGAAGACAUGGAAACUGUAGGCCUCUUAUCCUCAGAACAAGGGGUCUUGAUCAUAUGAAUUGCCUCAAACGCCUGAAACGGAUUUUCAUGUACCUCUCUCUCA
rnacentral:lncRNA from 1 species